rnacentral:rRNA from 1 species
GAUGAACGCUGGCGGCGUGCCUAAUACAUGCAAGUCGAGCGAACAGACGAGGAGCUUGCUCCUCUGACGUUAGCGGCGGACGGGUGAGUAACACGUGGAUAACCUACCUAUAAGACUGGGAUAACUUCGGGAAACCGGAGCUAAUACCGGAUAAUAUAUUGAACCGCAUGGUUCAAUAGUGAAAGACGGUUUUGCUGUCACUUGUAGAUGGAUCCGCGCCGCAUUAGCUAGUUGGUAAGGUAACGGCUUACCAAGGCAACGAUGCGUAGCCGACCUGAGAGGGUGAUCGGCCACACUGGAACUGAGACACGGUCCAGACUCCUACGGGAGGCAGCAGUAGGGAAUCUGCCGCAAUGGGCGAAAGCCUGACGGAGCAACGCCGCGUGAGUGAUGAAGGUCUGCGGAUCGUAAAACUCUGUUAUUAGGGAAGAACAAAUGUGUAAGUAACGAUGCACGUCUUGACGGUACCUAAUCAGAAAGCCACGGCUAACUACGU